CGCAAGCAGAGUUAAAGGAGCACGGCUUGAGAGCUUGUAACGUGCCAGGCACUGAGCUACACGUUGCCGUGCCAUCCUGUUAUUGUCAUCUUCAGUUACAGGAAGGAAAGAAACAGAGGUAGAAGAAGAGAUGAAGGAUGUGUGGCUUCAGGGACUGAUGGAAGAGACACCUUCCAGAAGGUGGUCAGCAGUAGCAGCUGCCUCUGAAAGGUCCCAGGGGCUGAAGACCAAGAGGAGGAAAGGAGGGAGCCACACGUGACCACCCCCCAUCUUACAGGAAACACAACCCAGACAUCACAAAGGAAUGCCUCUCUCUUCUGCGGCAAACAAACCUACCCACGCGUGGACCCAUCCUACCUUCCUUGCUCUCUGCUCGAUAAAGGUUCCUGCCCCAGAGCCUUUGCACAAGCUAUUGACUCUGCCCACAUGUUCUCCACCCUCAGCCCACCCCUUCCUUCCGGUGCCAGCUCCUGCAGUGCUUCCUCAAAGCCUCCCUUGACCGCUCUUGUUUCUGGCCUGACGGGCUUGGCGAGGACGUAGCUUCCACCACAGCAGUUCGCUCAAGGCCCGCAACGUGACAGGAAUGAGGAGGGUGAGCCACGGGAGAAGGGCCUCCUCGCCAGCCCACACGGACCGGGCUCUCACGGGAGAGGGAAGAGGAGCAUCUCCCUCAGCUAAGCCUUUGCAUUCGGGGGCCUCUUUGCUACAGCGGCUUUGCCUUCACCUCCCUAACUCAAGGACGUGGGGAAGACUUCACCCGAGGCACUAACAUUGAAUUGGACAUCGGAGGAUAAAUAGGAAUUUAUCAGCGGAGGAGUGGGGUGAAGUGUAAAUUCCAGAAAGAGGGAGCCACACUGAAUGCAGAGGUCCAGAGGCAAGAAAGUCCUUGGCUGAUUCUAGCCAGUGUUUCUCCAUUAGACUCGCCUGCUGGUUGAAUACAGAUUCCUGGGACUCCCUCCACCCCAUCCCAACUCCCCCAUCAGACCUUUUGAGUCAGAAUCCACAGGGGAUGGGGCCAAGGAAUCUGAAUUUCUACCUGGUGCCUUGGGUCCACUCUC